AGCGAACGCUGGCGGCAGGCCUAAUACAUGCAAGUCGAGCGCACCUUCGGGUGAGCGGCGGACGGGUGAGUAACGCGUGGGAACGUGCCCUUUGGUACGGGAUAACUGAGGGAAACUUCAGCUAAUACCGUAUGUGCCCUACGGGGGAAAGAUUUAUCGCCAUUGGAGCGGCCCGCGUUGGAUUAGGUAGUUGGUGAGGUAAAGGCUCACCAAGCCUACGAUCCAUAGCUGGUCUGAGAGGAUGAUCAGCCACACUGGGACUGAGACACGGCCCAGACUCCUACGGGAGGCAGCGGUAGGGAAUCUUGCGCAAUGGGCGAAAGCCUGACGCAGCCAUGCCGCGUGAAUGAUGAAGGUCUUAGGAUUGUAAAAUUCUUUCACCGGGGAAGACAAUGACGGUACCCGGAGAAGAAGCCCCGGCUAACUUCGUGCCAGCCGCCGCGGUAACAC
rnacentral:rRNA from 1 species